GCAGAAGUUUUCUCCUCCUGUCCUGUAACUGGUUUUCACUCACUCAACUGAGAGAUUUCUUUGUUGCAAUGAUGGGGUCUAAGAUAACACUUCUGGAGGCUGCAGGCGAGAAACACAGCUGAUAUCAUCUUUUAUUGUGUGUUGUUAUUUGCCUAGCAUUAUAAAUUAAGGAGGAAUAGUAACAAAGAGCUUGAAGACAUGCACAGCUCACAGGCCCCGGGUGGAGGCUGGCGACAUCAGACAGACAGAACCAAGACAUCUGAGGGGCAACCAGGAGGUGCGUGUGGCUGCAGAGCACACAGACUUGUCUUUGGACAAAAUUGAGAAGAACUCAUAAACUUGGCUUCCUCGCUUCUGCUCCUCAGACCCCUGCAAACAUGACUUACCUUGGAAACUAUAAGAAAGGAUGGCCUUAUGUGAGGACACUCAUCAUCCUGGCGUUAAUGUGCUUCUCUUCUAUUUGGCAUUUGAGUCCAACACUACCUGAUCUCAGUCCUUCUUUUUAGAAUCAAUAUUUCCAUAGCAAGUGUAGCAUCAUCUUAAAUGGGGAAUCCCACUUUUUUUUUUUAAAGCUAGAGAUGGCAGUUUGGUGGGAUUGGCCAAAAAUAAUUUGAAGAAAGAAUGCACUAAGGGUGAAAAUGUUAUGUUUAUAAAAAUAUUAUGAAAGCUAAAUGUGAUGCACUUGAAAAAUGUGGCAGGAUAUUUCACUGUAUAUUCAUGAAAUCUGUAUCUAAACUAUAUCAAUAAAUACUAUUCAAGAGAAUAUAAAAA
rnacentral:lncRNA from 1 species